rnacentral:lncRNA from 1 species
CAGUAGCCACUCAGAUGCCACUGUGUGAAAGGGCCAUAAAUGUUGCCUGCUGCUUGAACAUCUAUUUUUUUCUCUUCCAGUGCUUGAUAACUCUGGGAGAUAAUACACUGCAGUCGUACUAGUGGUUAAGAUAUUUGGGAAUAAAAUUAAUACUUUUGACUAGAAGCGUCUAAGGAUAAACCAACAGAAAUUGAAUCUGGAUACAUCUUUAAGAUGUAAUCAGAAAUGACCAGAUGACUCUAGUUAGAAUUUUUGAAGGAGGGAUUACAUUAAUAUUUCAAAACCCUUACUCUGUAGAUAAGUGUAUUUUAAUUUUUUCCCCUCGUAUACUUUUAUUUACCUGGGGAAGGAGCUUUUAGGGUUGGGGGGUGGUUUGCUAUCUCUUUAGCUAGCAGAAUAGUGUGCCUUUGAUCCUCACACAUCUGUAUUAUGGACACAGUAGCCAUGCUUCACGGGGAGGUCAGAGCUGGCUACCAGCAGUCUUGCCCUUUACUGAGCUUAGUGUCAUCUUUGGAUGCUGUCAUAUGCUGCUUUGAGUGAACCAGAGAAACAGCCAUUUGCAGCAUGAGAAAGCCCCAAAAGCUCUGGGAUUUACCUCCACUUCAGUAAUAAUGAAUAUUUUUUAGCAUUAGAAUGUGUUAUGUCAUUUGAAUUAAUUUUGACUACACUUUGGCUUGGGAGAGGAAUUAUUUUAAAUAGACAUUGGUACUUUUUGAACUUGAUAGCUAAAGAUUCUAAAAUGCAUGUUUUAUACUAAGUUUUAACCAGUCAGGAAAAUUUUAUGUAACUAGUGAUAGUUUAUUUUUUUGUAUGAAUUUUGUUUAGGCUGCAAUGUUUAGCUUUUGUUAACUCCUCACUCUUGCUGUCUUAAGUUCAUUACUAUGUUUAAUGGCCUACUUGCCAAGAUAUUUAGCAUGUAAAAAG